UGCAGGCGGAGCUACCAUGCAAGUCGAGCGGUAGCACAGAGAAGCUUGCUUCUUGGGUGACGAGCGGCGGACGGGUGAGUAAUGCAUAGGAAUCUGCCCGAUAGUGGGGGAUAACCUGGGGAAACCCAGGCUAAUACCGCAUACGUCCUACGGGAGAAAGGGGGCUCCGGCUCCCGCUAUUGGAUGAGCCUAUGUCGGAUUAGCUAGUUGGUGAGGUAAAGGCUCACCAAGGCAACGAUCCGUAGCUGGUCUGAGAGGAUGAUCAGCCACAUCGGGACUGAGACACGGCCCGAACUCCUACGGGAGGCAGCAGUGGGGAAUAUUGGACAAUGGGCGCAAGCCUGAUCCAGCCAUGCCGCGUGUGUGAAGAAGGCCCUCGGGUUGUAAAGCACUUUCAGCGAGGAAGAACGCCUAGCGGUUAAUACCCGCUAGGAAAGACAUCACUCGCAGAAGAAGCACCGGCUAACUCCGUGCCAGCAGCCGCGGUAAUACGGAGGGUGCAAGCGUUAAUCGGAAUUACUGG
rnacentral:rRNA from 1 species